GUGCCAGCCGCCGCGGUAACACCGGCAGCCCAAGUGGUAGCCACGUUUAUUGGGUCUAAAGCGUCCGUAGCCGGUUGGGUAAGUUCCUUGGGAAAUUUGGCUGCUUAACAGUCAAGCUUUUAGGGAAUACUGCCCGACUUGGGACCGAGAGAGGUCAGAGGUACUCCAGGGGUAGGGGUGAAAUCCAUUAAUCCUUGGAGGACCACCGGUAGCGAAGGCGUCUGACCAGAUCGGGUCCGACGGUGAGGGACGAAGGCUAGGGGCGCGAACCGGAUUAGAUACCCGGGUAGUCC
rnacentral:rRNA from 1 species